UUGUGGUAGUUGGGCGGGUGGUAGAGAUCGCAACGGCUGCAGCAUUCCCGGGGAGCGUGAGACGGCCACGGUGGCUGCAGCUCCGAAGUCGUGAGGGACCUCACGCUUCCCUCCUGUCGCUGGCGCUGAGCCUUCUGCCUCUCCUGCCCGGCUCCUCGACCCCGGCCCCGUCUGGACUGGGAAGAGAGGCCCCGGGGAGGGGCGGAGCUGUAGGUGAGAGGACCGAAAUUCAAGUCUAUGAAUUGUGCUUUUCUCCAGAAGCAGCACGCUGGGAAAAACACAUUGAAAUGGCAAGAAAGGGAGACUAGAAGAUAAACGUCUGCUCACCUUCCUAUUCAUGUGGCAACCUGAUGAAUUUGACUUAAGGGGGAUCAUUUCAGAUCAUCAGUCUUAUCAUCUUUCUGUUGGCAACAGGUCCACCUUGGCCCCUGGAGCCCUACCUCCACUAGUUUGUUCUGCAUGCCAGUGUGGCCAGCUCACAAGGCCAUGGCGAACUUGCGGUUUUUCUGUUCCUGCUUAUCCGUCUGAGACAUAUGUAUCCCACGGGAAUGCCUUGACCUUUUCUGGUCUGAUGGACUUAUUGUUAAGGGAGGUUUUGGUACCUGACAAUAAUAGAUGUUGAAACUAAAUUUCUCCCCCCUCCCUCCUGCUUUUGGGUAGUUUUCCACUUCUGCUGCUUGGGGUAUAAAAAAAGGUGUGUUAGCAAUAAAGAUUAUUGACUCCUGGAUGAAGAACCUUGGUGUCCUGUGUGUCUUUUAACCUCGCCGUCCCUCGCCGGACUCGGCUCCCUUGGCCGGACGCGGCAUAAAGCAGUGCAAGGUAAAGAUUCCACGAAUGAUUAAAUGUAUGAUAAAAAAUAGUUUGGGAUUCCUUGCUGUUUGAGAUGUCUUUUUCAAUUAAUUUAAAUUUGCCUAU